UACGUAGGGGGCUAGCGUUGUCCGGAUUUAUUGGGCGUAAAGCGCGUGUAGGCGGCCAGAUAGGUCUGCUGUGAAAACUCGAGGCUCAACCUCGAGCUGUCGGCGGAAACCAUCUGGCUAGAGUCCGGAAGAGGAUAGUGGAAUUCCCAGUGUAGAGGUGAAAUUCGUAGAUAUUGGGAAGAACACCGGUGGCGAAGGCGGCUAUCUGGCCCGUAAUUGACGCUGAGGCGCGAAAGCGUGGGGAGCAAACAGG
rnacentral:rRNA from 1 species